AGUUUUUUAGGAAUGCUGCAGAUGAAUUGACGUCAUCAAUCGCUGAUGGACCCGCGAAUGCAAGUUUUUAAGGAAUGUUGGAAAUGAAUUGACAUCAGUAAUCUCACAUGAAUACACCAAUGCAAGGAACGCUGAAGAUGAAUUGACUUCAGCAAUCCCUGACGGUGCCGCCAGUGCAACGUGAGGUAUACUAAUUUCAAGCAAAAAAGUGUAACCCACUGAAGUCACUUGGAGUCUGAUCAUACUAGUUUUGAAUUUUUAGGAAUAUUGCAGAUGAAUUGACAUGAGUAAUCUCUGAUGGACUCGCCAGUGCAAGGUGAGGUAUACUAAUUUCAAGCAAAAAUGUUUUACUCUCUGAUGUCCCUUGGAGACUGAUCAUACAUGUUUCAAUUUUUUAGGAAUGUUGCAAAUGAAUAGACAUCAGUAACCUCACAUGAACCUGCCAAUGCAAGGUGAUGUAUACUAAUUUCAAGCAAAAAAUAUACCUCCCUG